UACUCUUCCCUGUUUGACCCAUCACUUUUUAUUAUUUCAUAUUCAGAUUGAAUCAUGUUAAGAAUUUGUCGAGGGAUUUUCAUUUUGCAUACUUAGUGGUUGUUUGAUAUUUGAUAUUUUUACAAGUUAGCUAGUACUAACCCCAUAUCAAAAUUCCCGGUUUUAUCUGUUUCUUUAUUGUGGAAUAUUUGCCUUAAAAAUUAGUUUGAAAUUAUCAAUGGUAUAGCAGAUGCCUUUGGACAAGGUAAUUCCUAUAUGUAAAGUAGUGUGAGUGUCAAUUUUUUAUUUGCCAGGGCAUGCUUUCAGAUAUCA
rnacentral:misc_RNA from 1 species